rnacentral:rRNA from 1 species
CCCUUAGAUGUCCUGGGCCGCACGCGUGCUACACUGACGCCUCCAGCGAGUACUUCCCAGCCCCGAGAGGUGGCUGGUAAUCAGCAAUAGGCGUCGUGAUGGGGAUAGAUCUUUGGAAUUAUGGAUCUUGAACGAGGAAUGCCUAGUAAGCGCAGGUCAUUAGCCUGCGCUGAUUAAGUCCCUGCCCUUUGUACACACCGCCCGUCGCUCCUACCGAUUUCGAGUGGUCCGGUGAAUCUUUCGGACUGCGCGCGGCCUCGUGCCGUGUCGCGGAAAGUCAGGUAAACCUUAUCACUUAGAGGAAGGAGAAGUCGUANCA